GACGAACGCUGGCGGCGUGCUUAACACAUGCAAGUCGAACGGAAAGGCCCUGCUUUUGUGGGGUGCUCGAGUGGCGAACGGGUGAGUAACACGUGAGUAACCUGCCCUUGACUUUGGGAUAACUUCAGGAAACUGGGGCUAAUACCGGAUAGGAGCUCCUGCUGCAUGGUGGGGGUUGGAAAGUUUCGGCGGUUGGGGAUGGACUCGCGGCUUAUCAGCUUGUUGGUGGGGUAGUGGCUUACCAAGGCUUUGACGGGUAGCCGGCCUGAGAGGGUGACCGGCCACAUUGGGACUGAGAUACGGACCAGACUCCUACGGGACGCAGCAGGGGGGAAUAUUGCACAAUGGGCGGAAGCCUGAUGCAGCGACGCCGCGUGCGGGAUGACGGCCUUCGGGUUGUAAACCGCUUUCGCCUGUGACGAAGCGUGAGUGACGGUAAUGGGUAAAGAAGCACCGGCUAACUACGUG
rnacentral:rRNA from 1 species